rnacentral:lncRNA from 1 species
CUUUUUAUAAUAUUUGUUUGCGCAGGUAUAUAUGCCCUUUGAAAUUUGAUACUGAAUAUGUGAUUCAGGUGCCUAUUUGUUCUUAACUUUUUUAGGUGAUUUAGUUAAUCAGUACAAGACACCAAGGUAUGUGGAGUUUAACCUAUGGCUGUUGUUGAACUCUUGAUUUUAUCAUUUUAUUGCACAUACUCUGAUAGUGAAUUAAUGGAUUAGCAAAUUAAUAUUAUUGUGGUUUUAUAUUGCCCUUUUCAAGUUACCGGAGAAUUGGAGUCUGUCAAAGUAUUGUAACCGCUUCAAUUGAAGAUCCUAAUGGUUAUAAGUUUGAAAAGAAUGACUUGCGAACCUUAUGCAAAGUGAUGCUUCAAUUGAAGAUCCUAAAGGUUAUAAAGGUUAUAAGUUUGAAGACACCAAGGUGUGUGAAGUUUGCAAAUUUGUAACUUAGUAAACUAAUAAUACAACCACCUCUUAUUAGUACUUGGUGCCUAAUAACUUAUCUCAACUUGUAAUUCACAUAUAUGCAGGGAUUUUAAUAAAUUGGGUUGAAGGACUAUGAUCAUGANNNNNNNNNNNNNNNNNNNNNNCCAUCAUUUUCCAUGCCUAAUUAAUUUCUUAGCACCGCUGAAUUUUGUGUAGGGCUUAUUUCUUUAGAUUAAAUUUGUUUGUAGGAUUUUAUUAAUGUAUAUAGAUGUUUUUAUCUGAUAAAUUUCUUCCAAUUUGCAGAUUUUACAAGUUGAACAAGGAAUGUUCUUUCUUUAAUAUAAUAAUUUGACCCGCUCAAAAUUCUUCUUUUAUGGAAAUGGACACAAGAUAGAGGAAGUGGGAUAUU